GAGAACACUUCGUGCUGUCUCUGAGUGACGGCUUUCCCCAACUAUGGGCUUCCAGUGCUCUCACCUGCUCCGCCUUGCUCUGCGUCUGAGUCUGUCUCUGUCUCUCUCACCUGACCUCUCCCUCUCAUCGCUGAUUUGGUUAGGCAGGUCAAGUCAGGGCGCCUCUGUGGGAGAGGAGGCUCCCUGGCAGGAGCAGGAGCCAAGUGUGGCUCCCAGGAAGGGAAGCCGAGACCUGGCCUCUCCCUCUGCCUUGGGCCACUUCUAACCUCCAGGGUUUGGGUCCCUCCUGACAGCAGGUAUGGUCCUAGCAUGACCCGUUGUGGCCAUCGUUAAAGGAGUUACCACAGCACACGUCCCUCCAGGAGCAUCUCCAGGCACCCAGCAUGUGGCGAGGCUCAACUCCUCUUCCUCACGGUGAACACUGCGGUCUGACGCCUCUUCCGGCUGUCCCAGUGCAGCAUCCCUCCACGUUAGAAAUAGAACCUGCGCUCACUGAGGCUCCAGAAACUGCCCAGCCUCGGGCAGAGCUGGAUGACCACAGCGAUGGACACAAACACUGGAAUACAACACUGAAAGUCCUCUCCCCUACUCCACCUCAUGUGCUGUCUCCAUGUCAGUGUCACCCACCCUCGCCCACAGCCAAUUUUCUGCUUUUCCUUGAAGCUGGAACCACACGCUCUAAUCCGCACAGUGAGCCAUAAAGAUGGAAUCAGGAAGACCACGUCUGGACCAUGGCUCUGGCCCUCCCUCAGCAGACUCCAGAAGAACCACCUCGAGCAACACCCUGGAUCUCUGAGUGUUAGUCUUCAGGGUAUAGAAAGAUCACUUCCACCACGUCUUGGGCUCCUGAGCCUGAUCAGUGUACACUGAGGUGAGAUGCACCUCUUAUUACUACGUCAAUAGUGAGGUAACCAUGACUCACACGCAUACAGCACACAAAUUGCACCAUUUCACUGCACUAAAUGUUUAACACACAUUCUUUUAUUGAAUUAUUUAACAACAAUUAUUAUUUCCACUUCACACAGAAAGAAGCCGGGGUGGUGGAGUUAAUAACAUGUCUAAGGUUAAAUCAGAGGGGAAGAAUGGGAGUUCAAACUUCACUUUUUUUUCCGUACUGGAAAUUGAAACCAGGCCCUUUACAAUGAACUAUAUCCCCAGCCCUUUAAUUUUUGAAUUUUGAAAUGAAGUCUUGCUGGGUUGCCCAGGCUGGGCUUGAACCUGCCAUCCUGUGCCUCAGCCUUCCAGAGAGCAGGAACUACAGUUAUGCACCGCCACGCCUGGUUCAGACUUGAUCUUCUCUGGAUCAAAGGUAAAUGCUUUCAACUGUUGAGUAGCUCGGUCACAUGUGGUUUUACUUAUUCAUGUAGCAGCAUUUGUGGAGACCUGUUCCAUGCCAGACCCUGAUUAAUGCCAGGAGCAUUUAAUUUAAAUGACUUCACAAUCUAGAGAGCAGGAGAGAUAACCUAGGUGUUAAAGAUAUGUGUUAAAGUGUGCCAGGUCAUAUGGGCACAGCACAGCGGGCAGCCAAGAUACAGUUAAUGAAACGAGAUGGAUGGGUGAAGACCUCAGAAAUAACUCUCUGACACUGAAAAUCUCCUGAAAGUAUGAUUACGUCUCUAAGGCAGAACUCACUCCUGAAAGAGAGAAAGGUAUCGAAGACCGCGGGGCUCUGACAAGAGCCUCUUCUGACGUGCACGGCUGCUUCCUGCCUGAGAUCCCAUCACCCCUCUUGUCAAAGAUGCUCUCGGGGAAAGUGGAGCUCCAGGUGGUGAUUUGAGGGCUCUAAGAUGACCAGAAGUCUCCGUCUUCCUGUCUGAAAACCAAAGCAGAGGGAGAGAAGCAAGCGGCCAAGUUUCUUCCGCCCCGACCUGUCUCUCGGAUAUGAACUGUCCCGUGUGUGACUAACAUGAUGUCUUCAGGAGCGAAAGGCCUACUAGUUCACUCAUUCAUUCGCAUUGUUGCUUUGACCGGGCCAGAGGCGAGUGUACCUCGUUACAGAAGGUCCUGGGAGAGUGCACUCCAUGCCGCAUGCAAUGGCUGAUCGAUGGGUGUGGGAACUAGGGGGCUUUCCCCUGCUCAUGGCUUUCAAACUCUGAGGAGACAUGUUUCCUGUAUUAAAUUGAGGGGUUUGGAAGGAAGGACACAGCCCAGGACACAUUUUUACUUUCAUGCAGUUGGGAAUCAAGGACACAAAGGAAGCUGCUAAGGACCAACUGGCCUGAUGCAUUUGAUGGCAGGGAGGGCACUCUGCUCGUAUUUCUG
rnacentral:lncRNA from 1 species